rnacentral:rRNA from 1 species
CACGGGGGGAGCAAGCGUUGUUCGGAAUCACUGGGCGUAAAGGGCGUGUAGGCGGUCAGGUAAGUGAGAUGUGAAAUGCCCCGGCUCACCCGGGGACCGGCAUCUCAUACUGCUUGGCUUGAGUACGGGAGAGGAUGUGGGAAUUCCUGGUGUAGCGGUGAAAUGCGUAGAUAUCAGGAGGAACACCGGUGGCGAAGGCGCACAUCUGGCCCGAUACUGACGCUGAGGCACGAAAGCGUGGGGAGCAAACAGG